rnacentral:miRNA from 1 species
GACGUCGAAUAUCGACGUCAUAAACACCAAAGUUGAUCGUGUUUUUGGCGUCGAAUAUCGACGUCAUAAACACCAAAGUUGAUCGUGUUUAUGACGUCGAUUAUCGACGUCAUAAACACCAAAGUUGAUCGUGUUUAUGACGUCGAAUAUCGACGUCAUAAACACCAAAGUUGAUCGUGUUUAUGACGUCGAAUAUCGACGUCAUAAACACCAAAGUUGAUCGUGUUUAUGACGUCGAAUAUCGACGUC